rnacentral:rRNA from 1 species
GAGUUUGAUCCUGGCUCAGGAUGAACGCUAGCUACAGGCUUAACACAUGCAAGUCGAGGGGAAACGACAUCGAAAGCUUGCUUUUUCUAGGCGUCGACCGGCGCACGGGUGAGUAACGCGUAUCCAACCUGCCCACAACUUGGGGAUAACCUUGCGAAAGUAAGACUAAUACCCAAUGAUAUCUCUAGAAGACAUCUGAAGGAGAUUAAAGAUUUAUCGGUGAUGGAUGGGGAUGCGUCUGAUUAGCUUGUUGGCGGGGUAACGGCCCACCAAGGCGACGAUCAGUAGGGGUUCUGAGAGGAAGGUCCCCCACAUUGGAACUGAGACACGGUCCAAACUCCUACGGGAGGCAGCAGUGAGGAAUAUUGGUCAAUGGGCGAGAGCCUGAACCAGCCAAGUAGCGUGCAGGAAGACGGCCCUAUGGGUUGUAAACUGCUUUUAUAAGGGAAUAAAGUGAGCCUCGUGAGGCUUUUUGCAUGUACCUUAUGAAUAAGGACCGGCUAAUUCCGUGCCAGCAGCCGCGGUAAUACGGAAGGUCCGGGCGUUAUCCGGAUUUAUUGGGUUUAAAGGGAGCGUAGGCCGGAGAUUAAGCGUGUUGUGAAAUGUAGAUGCUCAACAUCUGCACUGCAGCGCGAACUGGUUUCCUUGAGUACGCACAAAGUGGGCGGAAUUCGUGGUGUAGCGGUGAAAUGCUUAGAUAUCACGAAGAACUCCGAUUGCGAAGGCAGCUCACUGGAGCGCAACUGACGCUGAAGCUCGAAAGUGCGGGUAUCGAACAGGAUUAGAUACCCUGGUAGUCCGCACGGUAAACGAUGGAUGCCCGCUGUUGGUCUGAAUAGGUCAGCGGCCAAGCGAAA